rnacentral:rRNA from 1 species
UCCACGCCGUAAACGAUGAGUGCUAGAUAUCGGGAGAUUUUCUUUCGGUUUCGCAGCUAACGCAUUAAGCACUCCGCCUGGGGAGUACGGUCGCAAGAUUAAAACUCAAAGGAAUUGACGGGGGCUCGCACAAGCGGUGGAGCAUGCGGUUUAAUUCGAUGUUACGCGAAAAACCUUACCAACCCUUGACAUGGUGGUCGCGGAUUGCAGAGAUGCUCUCCUUCAGUUCGGCUGGACCACACACAGGUGUUGCAUGGCUGUCGUCAGCUCGUGUCGUGAGAUGUUGGGUUAAGUCCCGCAACGAGCGCAACCCUCAUCCUUAUUUGCCAGUGGGUAAUGCCAGGAACUAUAAGGAAACUGCCGGUGAUAAGCCGGAGGAAGGUGGGGACGACGUCAAGUCAUCAUGGCCCUUACGGGUUGGGCUACACGCGUGCUACAAUGGUGUUUACAGAGGGAAGCAAUACGGCGACGUGGAGCAAAUCCCUAAAAGACAUCUCAGUUCGGAUUGUUCUCUGCAACUCGAGAGCAUGAAGUUGGAAUCGCUAGUAAUCGCGGAUCAGCAUGCCGCGGUGAAUACGUUCUCGGGCCUUGUACACACUGCCCGUCACGCCAUGGGAGUUGGUUUUACCUGAAGGUGGUGAGCUAACGCAAGAGGCAGCCAACCACGGU